rnacentral:rRNA from 1 species
AAGGAAUAUUGGACAAUGGACGCAAGUCUGAUCCAGCCAUGCCGCGUGAAGGAUGAAUGCCCUCUGGGUUGUAAACUUCUUUUAUAGGGGAAGAAAGAUACUUUUUUUAAGGUAGUUGACGGUACCCUAUGAAUAAGCACCGGCUAACUCCGUGCCAGCAGCCGCGGUAAUACGGAGGGUGCAAGCGUUAUCCGGAUUUACUGGGUUUAAAGGGUGCGUAGGCGGGCAUGUAAGUCAGUGGUGAAAUACCGGAGCUUAACUUCGGAACUGCCAUUGAUACUAUAUGUCUUGAAUAUUGUGGAGGUAAGCGGAAUAUGUCAUGUAGCGGUGAAAUGCAUAGAUAUGACAUAGAACACCGAUUGCGGAGGCAGCUUGCUACGCAAAUAUUGACGCUGAGGCACGAAAGCGUGGGGAUCAAACA